CUUUCGCAUUCCCCUGUUUGCCUUGCUGAUCUUGCAUGUGCACAGCUUCCCAGUUUAAGGUCCUAAAUCCCAGAGGAGCCGUGACCCAAAAGCUGGAGGUGGCCUUGCUCCUAGCCAGGGAGCAGCCGCUGGUCACUAUGCACCCAGGUACAGCACCUACAGAGACCUCCCCAAGCCAGGGCAAAUGUAGAGACCAGUUGCCAGCUCCUCCACUCCUGUCCAGCAUGCUCCUGCACCAGGCAUGAACUUGGCUGUGCCUCAACCAGGAUACCCCACAGAUACUGAAUUCUCUGCUAGCACUGGUUUUGGCCCUGCUCCAGCUGGAUUCCCAAAUGGUUUUCAGCCUUGGGGUGAAUUCAAGGCCAGAUUAACCAUAUGGGCAACUGGGCAAUUGCCAGAGCCCACGAACUCUAAAGGGCCCAGGGCAGCAAGGGCAUGAGCAAAAUACUGCAUCUGUAAUCUCCCACUUUAUAUUAAACAAGGUUGACCGUA